UGCUGGAGCUCAGCGCGAUGGGUUGAGGCCAAUGAACGCCCUGGAGGAAUCAAUUAACCGCCCCUCGGCGCCAAUUAACCCCGUUAACGAGCCCCUCGUUACCUCCGGGCCCGUCGACCCGAGCGACGCCCCGCUCGUUAACCCCGCGGCGAUGAACCCUCCGGCCGAGCCGCUAACGAACUCCCGCGUCCACUUCCGAGCGACGCGCCCCGUUAACGAAGCCCUCGUUAACCCGAGGCCGAUGAACCCCGCCGAGCAGGCGGCCGUGAGCGAGGCGCUCGUUAACGAGGAGGACGAUAAUUACGAUAACGAGGAGGACGACGACGACGAGGACGACGACGACGACGACGCUGCCCUGUUCCCCUAUGGGGACAUCUUCCUGCACAGCCCCUGAGCAAUAAACGGGGGCAGUGGGCUACCAAGUCUGGCCGCUGGGCUACCAAGUGUGGCUACCAAGUGUGGGGACUGGGCUACCAAUGGUGGCUACCGAGUGUGGGUACUGGGCUACCAGGUGUGGGGACUGGGCUACCAAGUCUGGCUGCUGGGCUACCAAUGGUGGCUACCAAGUGUGGCUGCUGGGCUACCAAGUGUGGCUACCAGGUGUGGGGACUGGGCUACCAAGUGUGGCUACCAAAUGUGGCUGCUGGGCUACCAAGUGUGGGGGCUGGGCUACCAAGUGUGGGUACUGGGAUACCAAUGGUGGCUACCAAGUGUGGCCACCAAGUGUGGGGACUGGGCUACCAAGGGUGGCUACCAAGUGUGGCUGCUGGGCUACCAAGUGUGGGGACUGGGCUACCAAGGGGAGGGGGCACUGGGGGCACACUUAUGGGGUCAGACCCACACUUAGGGGGCUGAGACCCACGCUUAGGGGUCCCUGACCCACACUUAUGGGGCAGGAUUCACACUUAUGGGGCUGAGACCUGUACUUAUGGGGUGAGACCCACACUUAGGGGGCUAAGGCCUCCACUUAUGGGGCUGAGACUGAUAUUUAUGGAGCCAAGACCCACACUAAUGACACUGAAACCCACUUUUAUGGGGCCAGGACCCACACUUAUGGGGUGAGACCUCCACUUAUGGGGCUGAGACCCACACUUAGGGGUCCCUGACCCACACCUAUGGGGCAGGACCCACACUUUUGGGUCCCUGGCCCACACUUACAGGGCAGGAUCCACACUUAUGGGGUGAGACCCACACUUAUGGGGCUGAGACUGAUAUUUAUGGAGCCAAGACCCACACUUAUGACACUGAAACCCACUUUUAUGGGGCAGGAUCCACACUUAGGGGGCUGAGACCCAUGCUUAGGGGUCCCUGACCCACACUUAUGGGGCAGGACCCACAUUUAUGGGGCAAGAUCCAUGCUUCUUGGGCCCUGGCCCACACUUAUGGGGCAGGACCCACACUUAGGGGGCUGAGGCCCACACUUAUGGGGCAAGAUCCACGCUUCUUGGGCCCUGGCCCGCACUUAUGGGGCAGGACCCACACUUACAGAGCAGGACCCACACUUAGGGGGCUGAGACCCAUAUUUAUGGGGCAAGAUCCACGCUUCUUGGGCCCUGGCCCACACUUACGGGGCAGGACCCACACUUAUCUGGUACGAGCCACGCUUGUGGGGCUGAGAGCCACACUUAGGGGUCCCUGACCCACACUUACGGGGCAGGAUCCACACUUAGGGGGCUGAGAGCCACACUUAGGGGUCCCUGACCCACACUUAUGGGGCAGGAUCCACACUUAUGGGGCUGAGACCCACAUUUAUGGCGCAAGAUCCAUGCUUCUUGGGCCCUGGCCCACACUUACGGGGCAGGACCCACACUUAGGGGGCUGAGGCCCACACUUAGGGGUCCCUGGCCCACACUUAGAGGGCUGAGACCCACAUUUAUG
ensembl:lncRNA